rnacentral:rRNA from 3 species
GCGACCCCAGGACGGGCGAGGACACCCGCCGAGUUUAAGCAUAUCAAUAAGCGGAGGAGAAG